AGCAGCCGCGGUAAUUCCAGCUCCAAUAGCGUAUAUUAAAGUUGUUGCAGUUAAAAAGCUCGUAGUUGAAUUUCGGGAUCAAUUUAUUGGUCGUGCUAUUGUACGUACUGGUAUUAUUGAUUUCUACCUUCUGACGAACCAUGAUGUCAUUAAUUUGGUGUCAUGGGGAAUCAGGACUGUUACUUUGAAAAAAUUAGAAUGUUUAAAGCAGGCUCACGCUUGAAUACAUUAGCAUGGAAUAACGAAAUAGGACGUUUGAUUCUAUUUUGUUGGUUUCUAGGAUCGACGUAAUGAUUAAUAGGGAUAGUUGGGGGCAUUAGUAUUCAAUUGUCAGAGGUGAAAUUCUUGGAUUUAUUGAAGACUAACUACUGCGAAAGCAUUUGCCAAGGAUGUUUUCAUUAAUCAAGAACGAAAGUUAGGGGAUCGAAGACGAUCAGAUACCGUCGUAGU
rnacentral:rRNA from 1 species